rnacentral:lncRNA from 1 species
ACAAGUUUCCCUUCAUCUUUCUGCAGCUGUCCACUGCUACCACUCAGCCUGUGGUCUAUCAUCACAUAUGAACAGUGUUAAAGUUUGGAUGGGGAAUAUCCCCUAAAAUCUCAUGUAUCAAAGGAUUGGUGACCAGUGGGAAAAUGUUUAAAGAAAUAGUCACUGAGGUUGGUCUAUGACAACAAGCAAAAAUAAAUCACAAAAUGAUAUUGUAAAGGAAGUGAGCAGAUUUCCUCUGCGAGAUCUUUCUACCAUGCCCAUCCCGUCUUGGGGCCAGCAGAUUAUGGACUGAGUCCUCUCAUGAGUGAAAAUUAACCUCUCCUCCUUUAAAUUGGAUUGAACUCGGGACCUUCUACUUGCAAGGCAGGAGGUGGAACCACUGAGCUAAAUCCCAGGACCUGCCUACUAUUGUUUAAAUGUGUUACUUUUAUGUAUCCAGUUUUAUCAUAAUAUGUGGGUAUACCUUUACAUAUUAAAUCUUCUCUAUCUUUCCUAGCUCAAAGGACUAAACAAUUAUUGACUAGUAUGUAAGUCAUCUCUUAUAGUCAAACUUUGUGUAUGCUUUAGUAACAUAAACCCCCAAAAAGUGAAUGUGUACUACAUAGAGGCAAUUUUUUGAAAGUUGUAAUUAGGUACUGUUUCUUUUAUACGGUUUCCAAAUAAAAAUAUAUGACUUUUCAUUUACAAUCAAGAAAG